ACAGCAGCAGCCACGGUAAAACGUAGGGUGCGAGCGUUAAUCGGAAUUACUGGGCGUAAAGCGGGCGCAGACGGUUACUUAAGCAGGAUGUGAAAUCCCCGGGCUCAACCUGGGAAUUGCGUUCUGAACUGGGUGGCUAGAGUGUGUCAGAGGGGGGUAGAAUUCCACGUGUAGCAGUGAAAUGCGUAGAGAUGUGGAGGAAUACCGAUGGCGAAGGCAGCCCCCUGGGAUAGCACUGACGUUCAUGCCCGAAAGCGUGGGUAGCAAACAGGAUUAGAUACCCCCGUAGUCCCUGUCUCUUAUAC
rnacentral:rRNA from 1 species